UACGUAGGGGGCAAGCGUUGUCCGGAAUUAUUGGGCGUAAAGCGCGCGCAGGCGGUUUAUUAAGUCUGAUGUGAAAGCCCUGGGCUCAACCUGGGAAUGGCAUUGGAUACUGGCGAUCUAGAGUGCGGUAGAGGGCAGUGGAAUUCCCGGUGUAGCAGUGAAAUGCGUAGAGAUCGGGAGGAACAUCUGUGGCGAAGGCGACUGCCUGGACCAGCACUGACACUGAGGCACGAAAGCGUGGGGAGCAAACAGG
rnacentral:rRNA from 1 species